CUUAAUUUGGGACUUUUGUCCUAGUGCUUCAGAUUUAGUGGCCAGCAGGAGCUAUGGGACAACACUGGUAAAAUGUGAAAGAAUAACUUGUUUAUGUGAAAAUGAUAGAAAUUGGAGGGGGUUGAGCAUGUGGUGUAUCUUAAGUGAUAUUGUGGGUUUGGAACAAGGGACAUUUUAAAAUAGCUGAGAAGGAUAUUAAACCUUUCUUUUUUUACUCCCGUUUUUAGAUUGUUU